CAGCAGUUGUGGGGUCUUGGUUUUGAAGUUUGCAGAAACAUAUGUUCAAAUGGGAGGGCUGCAGGCAGUGCAAACAGGACCCAAAGACAUAUCCCAAGCCAGACUGCACAUCGCUACCACACUGUAUCAACAUCGAGACAAGGUGGAAGAGUACUGUGUGGAAUGCAAUAUGCUUCACUGUA